AGUCUUUUUCUUCUCUACCAUUUCCAACAAAGCAGGGGAAAAAAGUCAGUCUUAGAAGAAGGAGACCGUCAGAGAGUUAUAAGCAGCUUUGCUUCCCGUGCUAUUGAGGCUCACAAGCAAUCUAAUAUCAAUGGAUCAUUGAACAAUAAUCUCCCCAAAUCUUCAAGUAACAUUACCUUAUUAUCUGAUGAGAACCCAUUAACUACACAAAACCCCUUAUACGUGGAAGGUGUCACUCAAAGUCCCGCUGCUGCUGGGUUUCUACGGAAAAGAAAUGAUACUCUUGAUACUCUUUCUCCUUCAAGACUACUCUUGAGAGAUGCCUCUUUGGGAGGCAGUCACCGUGCGUGGACAGUACCAACUCACGUUCCUAGGAGACACGCACCUGUUUCUCUGAGUAGGCCAGUUAUCAUGGACCCCAUUCAGUGGCAACAGGAGAGACUCAAAGCAGAGAAUGAAGGAACUGAAAAUCAGUGUAGCAGUGUCGAUCUUAGCAGUCCGCUAUUUCCAAAAAUAAGUGGCCCCAAGUUAACUGUAAAAGAGAAGGCAAGACAGUUUGAGCAGCAGGCUUUGCAGGAAAUGAAGCAAGUGAAAUCUCCUGAUGUGAAAUCCAUCCGAUCGCCAACACACAGCAUCCGUUUCCAAGAAGGAGAGAACAUGCUAGAGCAGUCUCCCAAAAGUGUGGUUGCUUCUCCAUGCCUUCGCUGUUCUCCUCUGCCCUCUCCAACACCUUGUGCUGAAGGAGUUGAACCUGAGGCCUCCGUGGUCCCCUCUGUAAUCAUCACUCACCACGACUAUCCUGAAGAACCUUCUCCUCCACCAACUCGCAAACCAACUCCUCCGUCUUUUAGGAUAAAGAAAUCAGUUUGCCAAAGUUUUCUAGCUCCUCGGACCAAAGACGUUACAGAAAGCAUUCCAGAUCCGCCUAAAAUUCCCCCACCCCCACCUCCACUGCUGCCACCUCCACUGCCACCACCACCUCCAUCCCCUCCUCUGUUGCCACCGCAUCCUCUGCCUCCGCCCACAGUUUCUCUCUCUUCUUCUUCAUCUCCUCUUAGCACCCAGCACCCCUCCCCUGCCAAGCAUUCAAAAUCCCCUGCCAAACAGCCAGCUGUACCACCACCGGCCACAGUGCCAGAGCCUCCUCCCCAUAGGGAGCUGAAAGGUAUUCUUAAAAACAUUCAGAAUUUAGCUGCGAUCGAAAAGUCUGUGGCCAACAUGUACAGCCAAAUAGACAAAAACCAUGUUCUGCCCAAGCACGUUUCUAAGUUCAAACCAGUCGCAACACCAGAGCUGCCAACUCCAGAAGCUGUGGCUGAGCACAACCAGCAGAAUGGCAACUUGAGCUGUGUUGUGGAGGAGCUUGAGAAACGCUUCCCCUCUCAGUCGACAGCGCUGUAAUGUUUACGGUUGGAUGUUUUCUGCAUGUCACAUUUUGAGAGAGAUGACUCUAAUGCAGCACACGGUAUCUGCCUCAGACUCU